AUGGCGCGGCGGCGUGGCCUGGCCGGCGAGCAGGCAGAGAGAAAAUGGAGAUGGAGCAGAGUGUGGUGUCGGAGGGGAAUCGAGGAGUGCGGGUUAUGUCGGACAACUGUGGAGGGGGUUUUCAGAAAAAUGCCAUUGCGGCAAGUAUUUGGAACCGGAGGAAGUAUCAAACUUGCAAUGAAGUACUCCUUCAAACUAAUCUCUACGAAGCUUAUGUUGAAAGAUUGUCAUGUGUACUUAUCGUCAUGUUGUAUUUGCUCAGUGACAUGCAUUGCCCAAUUUGUUUAUAUCAACAUCAAUUAG
rnacentral:rRNA from 1 species